rnacentral:lncRNA from 1 species
AGAAGGAGGCAGAUCAUCUCAAGCGGCCCCAGUGGGAAUUAAGUCAAGUUCAGAACCUUCUUCCUUCUGAAAUGGCCUCCAGGAAGCCAGCCAGGUGCCAGGAAGCCUCCAUACCUUACUGUGAAGGGCCUCACAAAACCACCUUGCAGUGAAGGCAUUGCUACACUCACUUUGCAGAUAUGGAAACUGAGGCUCAGAAAGAAGUAACUUGGCUCGUCACAUGGGUGCCAAUCAAUGUUUCUCAUGGGCCUUUGGCAUCUCAGUGACAAUGGCAUGCAGGACGCACCCAGGCUGGUUUCUACUUCUUGACUUUCUGCCAGGGCUGAAGGUGUUUCCCCGCUCCACCGCAGUGGCUUAGAGGAAGUCAGUUUCAUUUGCACCCUUCUAAAUCCUGACCUGGGAGCCUUUUUGCUGAUAUAAACCUCCUUCCCUGAUGGUGCAAGCUGAGCUCCAGCAAGAUCUGAGAAUCAAGAAGGUGGGGUUAUCUGCCUCUUUAAUCAAUGGAGGAAAACGCAUGGGUUUUGAGCCUCAGAUUUGCAACCCAGCUCUGGAAAUCACUUCUUGGAGCAGCAGUACCUCCAUCAGUUAUGCCAAGAUAAUAACCUCUAGCUCCUAGGGUUUUGGAGUGGGGAGGUUAGAGAUGAUCCUGGUGAAGGCUUGAGAAACCAUAACACUUCAGUAAAUAGUAAUUUCAGU